rnacentral:misc_RNA from 1 species
CUGAACAGCUCUCCCAUUGUCGCAACGCAGCCGCGUCCUCCACCUGACCUUUGUUUCUUUCCUCUUGAUCGAAGCUGUCCAUGCCCGCGCCGCCACAUCGCCCGGCAGCGGGCUUGGGACGGUGGAUCACGGUAGCGGCAGGGAGGCCUCUGUCGCCCGCCGUCGCCAUGCCCCAGCGCAUAGCUUUCGUGCCGCCGCUGGCGGCUUCGCUGAGCGUGAACAGGCGAUUCGUGUCGACGAUGAGCGACAGGGCUGAUGCACGCGGGACCUGCAACAGCGGCAAGUUCGACUUCUUCGGCGCCUAUCGCGCGUUCCGGCGGGAGCGCAGUGCCAACCGUAGCAGGCAGUACACGACGUUGUCCAUGUAUCUGGAUAUGCUACCGCCCGGCUUUCGCGAGCUGCUCCUGUGGUCCCCGCUACUUGCGCUGCUGCACUUCAUGUGUCGACAGGCCCGGGUCUACUACCUCGACGAGGAGGAGCCGUGGUAUUACGUAGCACUUCCGCGACGGUGGCGUUGUCGGGUCGACGGGGAGGGCAGCAGCGCGACGGCGCAUGUGUCGUCGCUGCUAAAGCGCGCGCCGCCCUCCUCGAUGCCGACGACGUCUGUUGUGGUUGAGGCGCAUAACCCCUCCGCGCCGCACUCUUUGCCGAACACAGGCCGAGGGGCUAAUAGCCAGGGGGGCGGAUCGACGACGACCAUCGUCACUACAACGUGUGCGUUUCGCGCUGCUAGUGUGCAGGACGACGCCGCCGCCGUGGCGGGCGCCCCACUCGCCGGCUCGCCCCCGGUCGCUUCCUUCCACGAAGUUCGCGCCCGUCGUGUUCACGCGGAUCAGGGUGCACCGCCUGUAACGACCGCGUCAACUCCACCGCUGGAGGAGACGUACCGCUACGGUGUGUGGGGUGCUCCGCUGGUCGUGAUUCGUAACCCGGCUACACAGCGUGUGAUUGGGUACACGACGGCAGGGUAGGCCCCACUGCGCUUCCGUCCGCCCUCCAUUGUCUUCCCUCCUUUCUCUUCACGCCUGACACGCCGCACGAGUGCGUGACGCUCACGUGCGUCGUUGUAGAAAGCGGAGGCCACAUGACGGGGCGUCUUCCCCUCCCUCACCAUCUACAUCGGUGUGGGAUGGCGCGCCUGCGCGUCAGGCACGUGCACAGAUGAGCGCAUGCAAUCGUGUGAUGGGCCUUCGCCGUGCUUCGUCGAGUAUCAAAG